rnacentral:rRNA from 1 species
GACAGAUGGGAGCUUGCUCCCUGAUGUUAGCGGCGGACGGGUGAGUAACACGUGGGUAACCUGCCUGUAAGACUGGGAUAACUCCGGGAAACCGGGGCUAAUACCGGAUGGUUGUUUGAACCGCAUGGUUCAGACAUAAAAGGUGGCUUCGGCUACCACUUACAGAUGGACCCGCGGCGCAUUAGCUAGUUGGUGAGGUAACGGCUCACCAAGGCGACGAUGCGUAGCCGACCUGAGAGGGUGAUCGGCCACACUGGGACUGAGACACGGCCCAGACUCCUACGGGAGGCAGCAGUAGGGAAUCUUCCGCAAUGGACGAAAGUCUGACGGAGCAACGCCGCGUGAGUGAUGAAGGUUUUCGGAUCGUAAAGCUCUGUUGUUAGGGAAGAACAAGUGCCGUUCAAAUAGGGCGGCACCUUGACGGUACCUAACCAGAAAGCCACGGCUAACUACGUGCCAGCAGCCGCGGUAAUACGUAGGUGGCAAGCGUUGUCCGGAAUUAUUGGGCGUAAAGGGCUCGCAGGCGGUUUCUUAAGUCUGAUGUGAAAGCCCCCGGCUCAACCGGGGAGGGUCAUUGGAAACUGGGGAACUUGAGUGCAGAAGAGGAGAGUGGAAUUCCACGUGUAGCGGUGAAAUGCGUAGAGAUGUGGAGGAACACCAGUGGCGAAGGCGACUCUCUGGUCUGUAACUGACGCUGAGGAGCGAAAGCGUGGGGAGCGAACAGGAUUAGAUACCCUGGUAGUCCACGCCGUAAACGAUGAGUGCUAAGUGUUAGGGGGUUUCCGCCCCUUAGUGCUGCAGCUAACGCAUUAAGCACUCCGCCUGGGGAGUACGGUCGCAAGACUGAAACUCAAAGGAAUUGACGGGGGCCCGCACAAGCG